UACGGGGGGGGCAAGCGUUGUUCGGAAUUACUGGGCGUAAAGGGCUCGUAGGCGGCCAACUAAGUCAGACGUGAAAUCCCUCGGCUUAACCGGGGAACUGCGUCUGAUACUGGAUGGCUAGAGUGUGGGAGAGGGAUGCGGAAUUCCAGGUGUAGCGGUGAAAUGCGUAGAUAUCUGGAGGAACACCGGUGGCGAAGGCGGCACCCUGGACCACGACUGACGCUGAGUGAGCGAAAGCCAGGGGAGCAAACGGG
rnacentral:rRNA from 1 species